AAUAAAAACAAACUUCUAAUAUUUAACAUUUAGCUCAGAAAUAAACAGCUCCACAUCCCAACCAGCCCUACCUGCGUAGCCUCCUCCGCCCAGCCUCGUUUCUCAUCGCUGUGUUUUUAUGGAGAGCUAUGGAGCGUGAAAGCAAUAUGCAAUGAAACGUUCCCGGGUUUGAAAAUAAAUAUUAACACUGUGAAAUGCAUCUUACUAUAUCUUUUUUCGGCUCCAACGCCGAGGAAGAAAGUUUUUGCAUUGGCGGCUAUCUCAUCACUGAAUCGUUUAAGAGAGCAAUUAGAGAGUCGGCAUUCUGAGCACCUGCUUUAAUUAUUACUCCCAGUCUCUCAAGUCUUCAUUAACCGAGCGAGGCGGCCAUGAUUGUCAUCUGAAAGGGACUUACGGGCACCUUUUGCACAGCAAUUACAAGGCUGUUUUUUCUACUCUAACUGCUCGCGGGCUGGAUGCAUCCUUGGAGAGAAGCAAAGGGAAAUCAUUUUGUUUUAGUUAGCAGCAAAAUAGAAUGCAAAAUGAUUGAUGCGUGAACCAUGGAUCCCAGGCGUUUCACCAAGGAUUUGUGCUUGUCAGUAAAGAAGAAGAAAAAAAACAAAAGAUGUCAAAGCAUUUUUAGCUUCUGUUGUAUUUUCUUUAAAGCGCGCCAUGCUUGCCGAGCACUCCUAUUCCCAGCGCACAGCAGACUGGAUUAGAAGCAGAUGGCGUGUCUUGUAAAGUCGUUCUUGAUAUGUUUGAUAGCAACUUCCUUACAGGCAGUAAAAUAAAGCUCUUAUUUCCA